UGACAUCUAGCAGAAUUUUGAGCAAUUAACAUCGAUGCGGUAAACUUUGGACACAAAGGAUAAUGACACAAAGGAUAUGGUUUUCAUUUCAGUCUGUCAAAACAUGGUCUGAAUGUCAGUUCAAUUUGAGAUUUGGUUGUAACAUAAACAAAUGUGGUGUUGCUUUUAAGAUGACUUGCACAGAAAAAAUGGAAGAUCCCUUAAGAAAGUGGCUUUUGAAACAUAUAAAUGCGAUGUGUGCAAUUUUUUAUAUACUGUUAAAUACAUAUUCAAUUUUUAUACUUACAACUAAGUGCACUGGAAUUAAAGAAGUACUAACGAUGGCAGCUGCGAUAUUUUCGCACUUAUUUACAAUGUAUCUUUUAUUAUACAAAAUAAACGAUUUUCGUAACAAAUGUAAGGCGUAUAUCGGUUUAUUUCUACUAUGCGAAGCAACUCUCGGUUAUAUUAUGAUGAUUAUCUUGAGGACUAUGCUACUUUUCCAAGAGGAUCUUCUCUCUUUCCUAGCUGACAGUCUCUUAAUAUUUUCGCUCGUUUCGUACAUGGGAAUGAACAUUUUUAAUCAUUUGCUAUUGAUUUACUGGGAAAUCUAUGAGAUUGAAGAAAAAUCUCUAUGGACAACAGCUGUGAUGAGAGCAAUAAUGCGCGUAUUACAUUCCAUAACAAUAACUGCAAUGUACAUACUCUUGAUAUGUAUUCCACCCGGAAAUUUUGAUAUCCUCCCACCAUUUU